AUACGGAGGGAGCAAGCGUUAUUCGGAAUCACUGGGCGUAAAGGACGCGUAGGCGGGUUUGUAAGUCAGGUGUGAAAUCCUACAGCUCAACUGUAGAACUGCACUUGAAACUACAGACCUAGAGUAUGGAAGGGGCAGAUGGAAUUAGUGGUGUAGGGGUAAAAUCCGUAGAUAUCACUAGGAAUACCGAAAGCGAAGGCGAUCUGCUGGGACAUUACUGACGCUGAGGCGUGAAAGCGUGGGGAGCAAACAGGAUUAGAUACCCUAGUAGUCU
rnacentral:rRNA from 1 species